UGGGGAAUAUUGCACAAUGGGCGCAAGCCUGAUGCAGCCAUGCCGCGUGUGUGAAGAAGGCCUUCGGGUUGUAAAGCACUUUCAGCGAGGAGGAAGGUGGUGAACUUAAUACGUUCAUCAAUUGACGUUACUCGCAGAAGAAGCACCGGCUAACUCCGUGCCAGCAGCCGCGGUAAUACGGAGGGUGCAAGCGUUAAUCGGAAUUACUGGGCGUAAAGCGCACGCAGGCGGUUUUGUUAAGUCAGAUGUGAAGUCCCCGGGCUCAACCUGGGAACUGCAUUUGAAACUGGCAAGCUAGAGUCUCGUAGAGGGGGGUAGAAUUCCAGGUGUAGCGGUGAAAUGCGUAGAGAUCUGGAGGAAUACCGGUGGCGAAGGCGGCCCCCCUGGACGAAGACUGACGCUCAGGUGCGAAAGCGUGGGGAGCAAACAGAUUAGAUACCCUGGUAGUCCACGC
rnacentral:rRNA from 1 species